CAGACCUCUGAUCAGAAAAGACUACCCGCUGAGUUUA
rnacentral:rRNA from 2 species